GACGAACGCUGGCGGCGUGCUUAACACAUGCAAGUCGAACGGAAAGGCCCUGCUCUUGUGGGGUGCUCGAGUGGCGAACGGGUGAGUAACACGUGAGUAACCUGCCCUUGACUUUGGGAUAACUUCAGGAAACUCGGGCUAAUACCGGAUAGGAGCUCCUGCUGCAUGGUGGGGGUUGGAAAGUUUCGGCGGUUGGGGAUGGACUCGCGGCUUAUCAGCUUGUUGGUGGGGUAGUGGCUUACCAAGGCUUUGACGGGUAGCCGGCCUGAGAGGGUGACCGGCCACAUUGGGACUGAGAUACGGCCCAGACUCCUACGGGAGGCAGCAGUGGGGAAUAUUGCACAAUGGGCGGAAGCCUGAUGCAGCAACGCCGCGUGCGGGAUGACGGCCUUCGGGUUGUAAACCGCUUUCGCCUGUGACGAAGCGUGAGUGACGGUAAUGGGUAAAGAAGCACCGGCUAACUACGUG
rnacentral:rRNA from 1 species